UUCAAAAAAGGUCGCCCACUCUGACUUA
rnacentral:piRNA from 1 species